GCAACGCCGCGUGAACGAAGAAGUCCUUCGGGAUGUAAAGUUCUUUUAAAUGGGAAGAAGAAAGUGACGGUACCAUAGGAAUAAGCCCCGGCUAACUACGUGCCAGCAGCCGCGGUAAGACGUAGGGGGCAAGCGUUACCCGGAAUCACUGGGCGUAAAGGGAGCGUAGGCGGCCUUUCAGGUUGUAUGUUAAAGACGACGGCUUAACCGGAGAAAUGCAUACAAAACCGAAAGGCUUGAGGAUAUCAGAGGAAAAGGGAAUUACCAUUGUAGGGGUGAAAUCCGUAGAGAGUGGUAAGAAUGCCGGUGGCGAAGGCGCUUUUCCGGGGUAUACCUGACGCUGAGGCUCGAAAGCUAGGGGAGCGAACCGGAUUAGAUACCCUGGUAGUCCACGCCGUAAACGUUGAACACUAGGUGUGGCGAGUUAAUCCAUACUUGCCGUGCCGCAGCUAACGCAUUAAGUGUUCCGCCUGGGGAGUACGGCCGCAAGGCUAAAACUCAAAGGAAUUGACGGGGCCCCGCACAAGCGGCGGAGCAUGCGGCUUAAUUCGAUGCAACCCGAAGAACCUUACCUGGGCUUGACAUUAUGGGUCUAUCCCUAGAGAUAGGGAGUGCUUAUGCGCCCAUAACAGGUGGUGCAUGGCUGUCGUCAGCUCGUGUCGUGAGAUGUUGGGUUAAGUCCCGCAACGAGCGCAACCCU
rnacentral:rRNA from 1 species